AAAGUCGGAACCUGCUCGUCGGCAGCUCCCGGCGCUGCCUUGACUCGCAGCCAGGCCUGGCGCGGCCGCCGGCUGUGGAAUGUGUGAGCGCCAUGUGUCACCGCCCCAGACUGUGGGAAAACGCUGCUCCGCUCACCUCCCAGCAGCUGCCCCGCGCCCGCCCGGGCGGGAGCCGGGAAACAGGAGCCGCCUGCCGCGGAGGCCGCCCGGGGGCACUUCCGAGCGCGCGCCGCCUGCCCGGCCGCCCCCGCGCCCGCCGCGUCUCCCCGCCCACACCCCGCUGCCACCCGGCCCCGGGCGCCACCCGCGGAGCAGGCGGCGGGAGGGACAGCCCGGCACGGCCCCUUUCCUGCCCUUCACACCCCUUCUGCUUCUCAGGGGACGCUGGUCCACAGACCGAGGCCCCGUUGCGCGCGGCCGCCUUCGGAGCGCCGCCCUCCUCCCGAAACCGGCCGGGGCGAGUGGCUGCAAGAAGCUGCGGUUUGGCCCGCGGGAGAGGGGGGCUUCCCCGCUGGGGUUGUCUGACGCGAACGCCUUCCUGGCCCCAGCCAGGCGCCCUGAGGUCAGGCCCAGUGGUGAGAGAGCUCUGAACGGGAGGCCCCACGCUGCCUGCUCCCCCAAAUCAGAAACAGCCUCCCCCACCGGGGCGAGGCAAGGGAUCUGCACCACCCCACGCGCUCCCGCCUGCACGGUAGCCUAGAGCCUGGUGUGAGCGGGAAUCACAUGUGCUCACACAUCACCCAGGCAAGGUCUUUGAAGCCCAGCCAUGCGGGCAGACGUAUUCAAGGUCACCCUGCUGGGUGGCGGCAGAGCUCCUGUUGGAAUCCACGCUCAGAGGACCUUCUGCCGAGCCCCAGCCCCAAAGGCAUGGCGCCCUUUCUCUGCAGCAUGGUGCCCCUCGUCGAGUUCCUGCCCCAUAGAGAAGUUGGGAAUGGGGCAGACGGGGGUGGGGGGAAAUCAUGGGUCCUGGGACCCCGACAGCUUUGCCUAAACUCAGCCUCAUGCUGCGAGACGUCCCAGUCCGUCACCUCAGCCUGAUUUUCUGGGGGUGCCCCACCUGACAGGCCUGGUAGUGAAGCCCCCAUUGUAUCCAGCCCUCUACGAGCACCUGGCAUUUGUGUGCCUUGUUCCGGCUUGCCACCUCCUCUGUGGAAGUCUUCCCAGAUUUGCCCAAUCAUUGCUUCCCGGUUCUCCGGCGGCCUUUGACAAACGCCUGUUUAUGACGUUUGUGGCCCCCUGUAACUCAUGGCCUACCUGUCCUCUCCUCCCUUCCGGAGUUUCCUGAGGGCAGAGACUGUGUUGCCCUCCUUUUUGAUUUCCACACAAAUGAUUAUUUGAGAACUCUGCUUAUGGCAGCUGCUCUGUUUGUUGGCUGAAUGUUAUGCAAUUUACCACUGGCUAGGAAUCUCACCAGAUGUGUGACCUUGGGCAAGUUGCUUAAUCUAAGCUUCGGUUUUCUCAUCUGUAAAAUGGAGAUCAACUGAUACUGCGUCUAAAGUGACUUGUAUAGUGGCUGGCACAAAGCAGAUGCUGUGUGUGUGUAUGAAUGAUUGCUAAAAUACCAUAGACUGGUGGCUUAAACAAUAGUCAUUUAUUUUCUCCUGGCUCUGGAGGCUGGGAGAUCCAAGAUCAAGAUGAUGGCGAAUUAGGUUGUUAGUGAGGGUGCUCUUCCUGGCUUGCAGAAGGCUGUCUGCUCACUGUGUCGUCAUGUGACCACAGAGAGAGAGCAAGUCUGUUCUUAUGAAGACACCAAUCCUAUCAGAUUAGGGCCCCACCCUUAUGAUCUCAGUUAACCUUAAUUACUUCUAUAAAGGCCAGGUCUCCAAAUACAGUCACACGGGGAGCUAGGGCUUCAACCUAUGGCUUUUGGGGGAUACAGUUCAGUCCAUAGCAGUGGGGAAAGGAUGUGACUCAGUCUAGAGAGACUCAAGGAGGGAAUGCUUAGAUAGGAGCAUGGAGGGCGUGCCUGGUGAAGGGAACAGUAUGGCACAGCUUCAGAGGCAAGGGUGAGCCAGCAGCAAGGGGCUGGCUAUGGCCGGUACAAAAAGCAUGUGCUCGUGGGAAAUAGGUAAGAGAAGCUUGGGGGUAUGGCCAGAGUAUGGAGGACUCUGAAUGCUGGGUGUGUUCGAAGG
rnacentral:lncRNA from 1 species